ACUCGCCUAUGGGGCAACCAGAUGCUUGUCACCACUUCCUCUGAGGAGCUGACUGAACAGGAAGCAUCCGGCUCAUCUGUGUCUUCAAGAGGAGACCACAGAGCCUGCUGGGAGCAGGCACAGCCCCUGUCAGCCCGGCCUGACACCGAGGCUCCGAGAUGCCGAGUCGGGACACAGCCCGCUGCCGCCUCUUCCUGCUCCCCCUGCUGUGGCAGCUUCUGAUAGGAUCUGCCCUGUCCCAGGAAUGCACCAAGUACAAGGUCAGCUCCUGCCGGGAUUGUAUUCAGUUGGGGCCUGGCUGUGCCUGGUGUCAGAUGCUGAACUUCACAGGUCGAGGGGAGCCUGACUCCAUCCGCUGUGACACCCGGGCACAUCUGCAGAAGAAGGGCUGCGUGGCCGACGACAUCCUGGACCCCAAGAGCUUCGCCGAGUCCCAGGACACGGGGCAGCGGGGCGGCAAACAGCUGUCCCCGCCGCAAGUGACCCUGCACCUGCGGCCAGGCCAAGCGGCCGUGUUCAACGUGACCUUCCGGCGGGCCAAGGGCUACCCCAUUGACCUGUACUACCUCAUGGACCUCUCCUACUCCAUGCUGGACGACCUCAUGAACGUCAAGAAGCUGGGGGGCGACCUGCUGCGCGCCCUCAACGAGAUCACGGAGUCCGGCCGCAUCGGCUUUGGGUCCUUCGUGGAUAAGACGGUGCUGCCAUUUGUCAACACGCACCCCGAGAAGCUGAGGAACCCCUGUCCCAACAAGGAGAAGCAGUGCCAGGCCCCGUUCGCCUUCCGGCACGUGCUCAAGCUGACCGACAACUCCAACCAGUUCCAGACGGAGGUUGGGAAGCAGUUCAUUUCUGGGAACCUGGACGCCCCUGAAGGCGGGCUGGACGCCAUGAUGCAAGUGGCCGCUUGCUCGGAGGAGAUCGGCUGGCGCAAUGUCACGCGGCUGCUGGUGUAUGCCACGGACGAUGGCUUCCACUUUGCGGGCGACGGGAAGCUGGGAGCCAUCCUGACCCCCAAUGACGGGCGCUGCCACCUGCAGGACAACAUGUACAAACGCAGCAAUGAGUUUGACUACCCAUCCGUGGGCCAGCUGGCACACAAACUGGCAGAAAGCAACAUCCAGCCCAUCUUCGCGGUGACCAAGAGGAUGGUAAAAACCUACGAGAAACUGACCGAGAUCAUCCCCAAGUCGGCGGUCGGGGAGCUGUCUGACGACUCCAGCAACGUGGUGCAGCUCAUCAAGAACGCCUACAAUAAACUGUCCUCCCGCGUCUUCCUGGACCACAGCUCCAUCCCCGACACCCUGAAGGUCACCUAUGACUCCUUCUGCAGUAACGGGGUGUCUCUCACCGGCCAGCCCAGAGGAGACUGCGACGGUGUGCAGAUCAACGUCCCGAUCACCUUCCGGGUGAAGGUCACGGCCACCACGUGCCCCCAGAACCAGUCGUUUGUCAUCCGGGCCCUGGGCUUCACAGACACGGUGACCGUGCAGGUCAUCCCCCAGUGCCAGUGCCAGUGCCGGGACCAGAAGAAGGACCGCGGGCUCUGCGGGGGCAAGGGUUCCCUGGAGUGCGGGGCCUGCAGGUGUGAUGCUGGCUACAUUGGGAAGAACUGCGAGUGUCAGACGCAGGGCAAGAGCAGCCAGGAGCUGGAGGGCAGCUGCCGGAAUGACAACAGCUCCAUCGUGUGCUCCGGGUUGGGGGACUGCAUCUGUGGGCAGUGUGUGUGCCACACCAGCGACGAACCCAACAAGGAGAUCUUUGGGCGGUACUGCGAGUGUGACAACGUCAACUGUGAGCGGCACAACGGCCAGCCGUGUGGUGGCCCGGGGCGGGGCCUCUGCGCCUGCGGCAAGUGCCAGUGCCUGGAGGGCUUCGAGGGCUCCGCCUGCCAGUGCUCCCGGUCCACCGCCGGCUGCCUGAACGCGCGCCGCGUGGAAUGCAGCGGCCGCGGCCGGUGCCGCUGCAACACGUGCGAGUGCGACAUGGGCUACCAGCCGCCCCUGUGUGAGGAGUGCCCCGGCUGCCCGGCGCCCUGUGCCCGGUACCUCCCCUGUGCCGAGUGCCUGAAGUUCGAGAAGGGCGCCUUCGAGAAGAACUGCAGCACCGCGUGUGGGGGCGUGAGGCUGCUGCCCGCCCCCGUGAGGGGCAAGCCGUGCAAGGAGCGGGGCUCGGACAACUGCUGGAUCUCCUACACCCUGCGGCAGCGCGACGGGAGGGACAGCUACGACGUCUACGUGGAGGAUGGCCAGGAGUGCGUGGAGGGCCCCAAAAUCGCCGCCAUCGUAGGGGGCACCGUGGCGGGCAUCGUGUUGAUCGGUCUCCUCCUGCUGGCCAUCUGGAAGGCCCUGACCCACGUGAGUGACCUCCGAGAGUACAGGCGCUUUGAGAAGGAGAAGCUCAAGUCUCAGUGGAACAACGAUAACCCCCUUUUCAAGAGUGCCACCACAACAGUCAUGAACCCUAAGUUUACUGAGAACUAGAGAGCACAAAUGAAGAUGAGGUUACCAAGACCAGCCUUCCAGGGGCCCCAAGCCCCGCCUCCUCCAUCCUGUGACCCCCCAAGCCCCACCUCCUCCAUCCUGUGACCCCCAAGCCACGCCUCUUCCAUCCUGGGACCCCCCCUUAGCCCCGCCUCCUCCAUUCUAGGACCCCACCAAGCCCCGCCUGCUCCAUCCUGUGACCACCCAAGCCCCGCCUCCUCCAUUCUGUGACCACCCAAGCCCUGCCUCCUCCAUCAUAGGACCCCCCAAGCCCCGCCCCCUCCAUCCUGGGACUCCCCCAAGCCCCGCCUCCUCCAUCCUACUACUGUGGCAGGCCUGCGGACAGUGAACCAGAACCCCCUUGCUUCUUUCUGCCUUCAAAAUGAUGCUGGGCCUGGUUUUUAGGUAGAGUCCUCCUCGGGCAUUCCCCCCUCUGAUCCCCGCAGCCUGUCAUACAACUGAGAACGGGGCUCCUGAGUCCCGGGAGGCCCCAUUCCCGCCUCC